CUACGGGACGCUCCAGUGGGGAAUAUUGGACAAUGGGGGAAACCCUGAUCCAGCAAUGCCGCGUGUGCGAUGAAGGCCUGCGGGUUGUAAAGCACUUUCGGUGGGGAAGAAAUGCUCAAAUAUAAUACAUUUGAGAGCUGACGUUACCCACAGAAGAAGCACCGGCAAACUCUGUGCCAGCAGCCGCGGUAAUACAGAGGGUGCAAGCGUUAAUCGGAGUUACUGGGCGUAAAGGGCGCGUAGGCUGAUGCUUAAGUCGGUUGUGAAAUCCCUGGGCUUAACCUAGGAAUUGCAGUCGAUACUGGGCGUCUAGAGUAUGGUAGAGGAAAGUGGAAUUUUCGGUGUAGUGGUUAAAUACGUAGAUAUCGAAAAGAACACCAGUGGCGAAGGCGACUUUCUGGACCAAUACUGACGCUGAGGCGCGAAAGCAUGGGGAGCAAACAGGAUUAGAUACCCUUGUAGUC
rnacentral:rRNA from 1 species